rnacentral:rRNA from 1 species
AUUGAACGCUGGCGGCAGGCUUAACACAUGCAAGUAGCGCGAGCGGCGGACGGGUGAGUAAUGUCUGGGAAACUGCCUGAUGGAGGGGGAUAACUACUGGAAACGGUAGCUAAUACCGCAUACCAUCAGAUGUGCCCAGAUGGGAUUAGCUAGUAGUUGGGGUAAUGGCUCACCUAGGCGACGAUCCCUAGCUGGUCUGAGAUGAUUACCAGCCACACUUGUACGGAGACACGGUCCAGACUCCUACGGGAGGCAGCAGUGGGGACUAUUGCACAACGGGCGCAAGCCUGAUGAAGCCAUGCCGCAUGUGUGAAGAAGGCCUUCGGGUUGUAAAGCACUUUCAGCGAGUAGGCGUUACUCGCAGAAGAAGCACCGGCUAACUCCGGGCCAGCAGCCGCGGUAAUUC